AACGAACGCUGGCGGCAUGCCUAACACAUGCAAGUCGAACGAAGCCUUCGGGCUUAGUGGCGCACGGGUGCGUAACGCGUGGGAAUCUGCCCUUUGGUUCGGAAUAACAGUUGGAAACGACUGCUAAUACCGGAUGAUGACGAAAGUCCAAAGAUUUAUCGCCAGAGGAUGAGCCCGCGUAGGAUUAGCUAGUUGGUGUGGUAAAGGCGCACCAAGGCGACGAUCCUUAGCUGGUCUGAGAGGAUGAUCAGCCACACUGGGACUGAGACACGGCUCAGACUCCUACGGGAGGCAGCAGUGGGGAAUAUUGGACAAUGGGCGAAAGCCUGAUCCAGCAAUGCCGCGUGAGUGAUGAAGGCCCUAGGGUUGUAAAGCUCCUUUACCCGGGAUGAUAAUGACAGUACCGGGAGAAUAAGCCCCGGCUAACUCCGUGCCAGCAGCCGCCGUAA
rnacentral:rRNA from 1 species